rnacentral:pre_miRNA from 1 species
GUUGUACUCCCUCCGUCCGGAAAAACUUGUCCCAAGCUUGUUUGUCAAAUGGAUGUAUCUAGCACUAACUUGGUGCUAGAUACAUCCAUUUAAGGGACAAGUUUUUCCGGACGGAGGGAGUACCAA